UACGUAGGGUGCGAGCGUUAAUCGGAAUUACUGGGCGUAAAGCGUGCGCAGGCGGUUUGUUAAGCCAGAUGUGAAAGCCCCGGGCUCAACCUGGGAACUGCGUUUGGUACUGGCAAGCUAGAGUACGGCAGAGGGGGGUGGAAUUCCACGUGUAGCAGUGAAAUGCGUAGAGAUGUGGAGGAACACCGAUGGCGAAGGCAAUCCCCUGGACCUGUACUGACGCUCAUGCACGAAAGCGUGGGGAGCAAACAGG
rnacentral:rRNA from 1 species